CGAAAUGCGCUAAGUAAUGUGAAUUGCAGAAUUCAGUGAAUCAUCGAAUCUUUGAACGCACAUUGCGCCCCCUGGUAUUCCGGGGGGCAUGCCUGUUCGAGCGUCAUUUCACCACUCAAGCCUCGCUUGGUAUUGGGCGACGCGGUCCGCCGCGCGCCUCAAAUCGACCGGCUGGGUCUUUCGUCCCCUCAGCGUUGUGGAAACUAUUCGCUAAAGGGUGCCGCGGGAGGCCACGCCGUAAAACAACCCCAUUUCUAAGGUUGACCUCGGAUCAGGUAGGGAUACCCGCUGAACUUAAGC
rnacentral:misc_RNA from 1 species